GAUGAACGCUGGCGGCGUGCCUAAUACAUGCAAGUCGAGCGAACAGACGAGGAGCUUGCUCCUCUGACGUUAGCGGCGGACGGGUGAGUAACACGUGGAUAACCUACCUAUAAGACUGGGAUAACUUCGGGAAACCGGAGCUAAUACCGGAUAAUAUAUUGAACCGCAUGGUUCAAUAGUGAAAGACGGUUUUGCUGUCACUUAUAGAUGGAUCCGCGCCGCAUUAGCUAGUUGGUAAGGUAACGGCUUACCAAGGCGACGAUGCGUAGCCGACCUGAGAGGGUGUCGGGCACAACUGAACCUGAGAACCGGUCAGGACCCUAAGGGAAGGCACAGGUGGGAAUCCUUCGCAAAUGGGGGAAAGCUUGAGGAACCACCGCGGGGUGGGUAAUGAAGGCUUUCGAUCCGUAAACUCUGUUAUUAGGGAAGAACAAAUGUGUAAGUAACUAUGCACGUCUUGACGGUACCUAAUCAGAAAGCCACGGCUAACUACGUG
rnacentral:rRNA from 1 species